rnacentral:pre_miRNA from 1 species
GUGCCAGGAGCUGCGUUUUCGGCAUAAUUACAGCACGUAAAUGCACCUAUCUGGUAUGC